UUUCUACUCCCUCCGUCUGAAAAUACUUGUCAUCAAAAUGGAUAAAAAGAUAUGUAUCUAAAAUUAAAAUACGUCUAGAUACAUUUCCUUUUAUCCAUUUUGAUGACAAGUAUUUCCGGACGGAGGGAGUAUUUG
rnacentral:pre_miRNA from 1 species